CAUUUAGUAGUAGUACUUCCUGAUUCUGCUUUGAGAUCUCUCUCUGAGGGGCUAACACAGCCAAUCUAGCACUUGGCUAGAAUACCAACCAAACGCAUCAAGCAAGGGUACACAUCGAUAAUACGUUGCCAAUCCAAGAAUACGCGGGUGGCUCUACAGAGAUCCCCCACCUAGAGAUCGAGUUUUCACUAUCAACGCACCGUUGAAAACCGCCCCGGAUAUCCUGCUGAAACGUCACACCGUUUCAACACACCCCGUUUCAAAGCCCGCAGGCCAUAUCUAUCUGGCCAUUGUGGAAUACCGGUGGUGACGUCUGUUGCUUGGAUCUGCUCACUACCUAGAAAGGCUUGACUGUUUAAUUAGUGUUUCAAUGCUUGGAAGCUUCCCUGAUUUUGGGGGGGUUUCCCAGCGGUUCUGCCCCUGUGCGACGGCCAUUCCAGCUCAAGGUGCCAGAACGAGCUGGGCAUCGGAUCGAGAGGCGUCUCCAGUGAAAAGCCGCAGUGGUCUGUGAGAGCCAGAGUAGAAGAAAGGGGCCGGGGGAUGGGUGCAAGAUAGAGGAGUUGAAAGGUGGUGUUUUAUCACAUUGGGGCGCCAAAACCCAAAAGGGUACAACAAACUAUCUUAACUAGUUAAACAAAAUAUAUGUUGGCUAGAGCAAAUAUUAAACCCCAUUUGAUCGAUAUCCAUCCAUCCUUUAGCUUUUGAAAAUUCUCAGUCAUGCCCCCUCCUCUUUCUCCAACGGGGAAAACAGAAAAUAAUGCAUGAAACCCUUCAGAAAAAAAAAAAUUCUUAUGUAUACACUUCAAACCAGAGACAAGGAUAAGGAUAUACUAGUCAAUAUAGUUAACAAGAUAAAAGAGAAAAAUGCCCCUGGAUUAGGCUACGGGCAAUUAUGGCUUGAAUCUAUUUGAAUUGAUCUUCCGUCACACCUUUGCCCAUGGCGCUUGUGCUGCUGAUACCACCGGUGACCAUCUUCAGUAGCUCGUCGACAUAGUUGGCACCACUCCAUUUCUGGUGAGUAACAACGUCGACGCCAAGCUCCAUCUCCGGCUCUUGGACAAGCUCGCCGUAUGCGCGCAUGCCGUUCUGGGCAUACGCUCUGGCGAACUGGUCGGAGAUCAGGGCGGUGGUAUGGAGACCGGCAAGUGUAAUGAAUUGCCAGCAGUAACCAAGCUGUCCGAGGCGGCGGAUGUAGGUUUCCUGCUCGUCGCGGGGCAUAGCGGCCUUCCAGUUGAAAGAGGGUGAAAGGUUGUAGGCGAGUUUCUGCUCGGGCCAGACGGCGUGGACUCCGUCGGCAAACUCCUUGGCCUGGGCGUAGUCUGGAAGCUUGCUCUCCAUCCAUAUCAGAUCAGCAAAAGGCGCAAAGGCCACAGCACGGUUGACAGCGCACUGGGUGCCGCCACGGUACCGGUAGUAACCCUCCCGGGUUCUGGCCGAAUCCCAGUUGAAGUAGAUUUCUGAGCCAGUGAGCGCUUUGGCGAUAGCGCGAGCCUCCGCAUUGCUCUUGCCCCGUGCGUCACGCAAGAAUUUGUCGAUUAGGGCCUGCUUGUUGGAGGCAGAGCCGGCUUUUAUGUGGUCGAUCACGGCCUCCGAGAAAAGCUUGAGGCCAGCCUCGGCGUUCCAUUUGUCCUCAAUCUCCUGAAGCUGGGCCCCGGACUUGCCGGCUUGUUCGGCAGCAAUCAUCAGAUCGUUGAGUGGCUUGAUAUUCGGAUUUGUGGAACCGACAACGAAGGCGUGAUCCCGGGGGUCGAUAGUGGAUGUGAUGAGGGUUGCGGCUUCUGAAUCCGUUCUAGCAACAGCUAGGAGAUCGGUUCCCAUAAUGUCUGCCUGGGCUCGGAUGGCCACAAGUCUGUUGAUAUGCUCGCUUAUGGGAACUAAGACCUUGCCCGCCAUGUGGCCACACUUUUUGGUCCCAGGAGCUUGAUCCUCGAUAUGGAUACCCGCAGCUCCGCGUUCGAUGAAAAGCUUGGUCAGCUUCAUGAUAGCGGUUAAGCCUCCAUGGCCGGUAUCAGCAUCCGCAAUGAUGGGUCUCAGAUAGUCAAUGUUGGGAAGGGAGGCGCGUUGGGACUUGGGUGCCCUUAAUCUUUCCUCGCGCUGUUUGCGGUCAUGGAAAAGCUGAGCCAUCCAUAGUUGAUUAACCUUGUUGGGUACAGUGUUCAUUGGGUAAUCCGCAAGAUCGGGGGAAGGUUCAUCGGUCGACGACGCGGUGGAAGAACUCUGCCAGCCGGAGACGUAGACAGUGUCGAGGUAUUUCACCAUCUGGGUAAGCAUUGUAGGUUCCAAACAACCGUAGGUGAAACUGGCCGUUUUGUUCGCGAAGUGUUCCUCCAGUAGUUUCCAUAGCUUUUUACUCUGAACAUUUGACGGAUAUUCAAUCUUCAAAUUCCCCCUCUUAGCCACGAUUUGUUCGGCAG
rnacentral:sRNA from 1 species